GUAAACGUAGUGCAAUAUUCAGGAGUUGAACUAGAAGCAGAUUGAAACCUAGAGACGGAAAUAAAUAGAAGAAUUGAAAAUGCCAACAGAGUAUAUUAUGCUCUGGUUAAUAGAUUCAUAAAUAAAAGAGAAAUAUCCAGAAAAACCGAAAUUGUAGUAGUAUUUCGAACUAUAUUUAGGCCCAUACUAUUGUAUGGCUGAGAAUCGUGGAUACUACAUCAGCAACAAACAAGUAGAAUACAAGCUACAAAGAUGAAAUAUUUGGAAAGUGACAGGAAAGAGUAGAAUUACAGAAUUCGAUUGGUUCCGGUAAAUGGAGAAUAAUUGUGAAAAAUUAUUGAAAUACUCUCUGCUGAUACAAUAGGAAAUGGAAAAUUCACAAUAAUAUGUCCACGGAUAUCGCAACAUAGCAACAAAAUGCAUUAUUAAUGAAUCACAGUGGGUGACAAUGGUCCUCUAUCUUGGGAAAGUCAGUCAACAGAAAAAGUUCAAAAGCAGGGGUACGCAUUAGAAUUUUAAGGAGAGCCGAUUUCCUUCAUUCCAUUAGAGUUGAAGAUCUUAGUUUGUAAUGGUGAAUUGAUAUGAUUACUAGCGUCGUAAGAAUAUCUGAGAUAGUAUUUAGAAAUUUUAAUUUAAGGAAAGCAUUGAAUAAAACAAUGUUAAAUAAGGAGAUAUAAAAGAAAGUAAUAGUUAGCGUAUACAAUACAAUAACAGUUCCAGCACUAACGUAUGGAAGUACCCAAGAAAAAUAGGAAGAAGCACUAGAAUGGAUAGAAUGAAAUUAUAAGAAAUAACUGCCAACAAGAAACAAUUGAAAAAAUAACAAAUAAGAGAAUCUUACAACUGGUUUGGACAUUUAACAAUGAUGGAACUACGUAAAAACCUAAUAAAUUACUAAACUAACAUAAAUCAUUCCUGGCUUCUUGAUGUUGAUAAUUGGAGUAGUGGAGAGUUACCUAUUUUGGAAUAGUAAUAACUGAAACAAAUUUUCUAUAUUUCCGUUUGCGAUCCUAUAUCUGUGUUUGUGUUUUAAAUCAUAUAAUCUGUUGAAAGUUGACUUGCAACAUAUUUAGUGGUGAAACGCAUACAUUCAAUUAUAUAUAGAAAUUUAUCGUGAUCAACAGUUCCCAAAAGUCAUAUUGAACCGUUUUCUUUUAUUUUUCUUCAAAAAAGAGCUGAAUAUUCCUGCAUAUCAAUUAAUCUUUGGGCUUUAAGACCAAAAUUAUAAAUGAGCUACGUUGUCAGUUGUUAUAGCUUUCGGACUCUCUACUAAGCGAAAUGAUAUCUUUUGAUACCAUUGAACCACAUCAUGAUGUCCCAAUUUAGGUCUGAAUACAACUGUGUCAAUCCAGAUACAUCUUAUCUUCAUUUAGAUUUCUUUCAAAUAGAAUUUCAACACUAGAAAAACUAGAAUCUCCAACAAAUAUAUUUAAAUUGAUAAUUUUGUUGUCUCUUUGUAUUCUUCUUGAUGUAUGAUUAACAAAAGUCAUAGUAUCGAUGAGGUACUUUUUUUACAUACCAAUUGGAAUUAUAAAUUACUCAAGUUUUUUUUACCUUUUGAGACAAAAACGAAGUGAUUUUGUAACGAAAAAUAAAAAAUAUCUCUCCUCACUUUUUACGACUCAGAGGAAAAGUAUAUCUCCGUAUUGAGAAAUAAGUUCUUUCAAAAGCUCUGUGGUUUCAAAGAGAAAAUAUUUUUCAUGUCAAUUUACGACAUUCAAAGACUUUACUAUUACCUAAUAAUCCGAACAACGAGGUUUGCUCAGUUAUAGGAAUCAUCCUUAAAAGUCUUCUUUGCCAUAACCGUUUUUUUGUGAUAUAUUUAGAAAAAAUAAUAAUGUAAGAAUAAAUUUUCAAUUUGUUGGCGAAUCCAGAGCAAGACUAAAAUAUUAGUUCAUAAUUAAUUGAUGCAUUGACCGUUGGAUAAUAUAGUCGUUUCAUGCAAAUUAGAUAAGAUAAUGGUAGUUUUGUUAUUCUUCCUUGGUUUGUUUACUAUUUGGUAAAUAUGCCAGCAUUGUUUUGCUAAUAGUGAAAACGCACUCUAGAUCAAUACCUGUCAAUGAUUUAAUCUUACUUGCUGUAAUUUCAGUUUCAUAAUAAGAUGGUUUGCGAGUCAGCUCGUAUUUGUCAAUUUCACUAAAAACUGUGUUCCCUUCAAAAUCAAAUUAAUUCGUCACCACGCCAUUUCUCAAUUCUUAUUUCUAUAUUCGUUGGUAGCAAAUUGUGGAUAAACCGUUGAAUAGUGUAUAUACAAUUUACAUCUUUUGUAUCCGUUUACUAUUUAUUUUAAGCCAUAUCAAACACAAAGAAAUUCUUUCGUUUUCAUGUGUAACAAAGAGAAAUUUUGUUCCGACUUCCGAUUUUCCGCUCCGAGUUUCCGAGUUUACUAUUUAAAUGUAUAUAUUGAUGUGAUGUUCAAUCUAAACAAACUCAGACUGACACGAUUUAUGGUUUUGUAGAGUUUUUGACAAAAUGUGAAUAAAAAACAAGUGAAUUGGAAUAUGUGAAGUAAAAUAAAAGUCAAGAUAAAAAUACUUAAUAUCACAAGCAGGGUCGCCAACAGCUCAGAACGAAAAAACUUAGUUUCCGCAGACAGCCGCUACAAAAAUAUCUGUAGAGUCUGGAUUUUUCAACAAUUUACAUUAUUUAUGUGAAAGAAAUUAUCACAAAGUAGACCCAAACUUUCUCGUAAAACAUGAAGUCGCUGACAAAGCAUGGGCUUUGUAAAAAUGUCUGUGAGUUGGUACUCGGUCCCAAUGUGCUCCACAGCUAGCAUUUUUUUCUUGAUUCAAUCUCUCAAAAUCUGGUUUUCAAUGAGCUUUUUGGCAGAUUUAUCGUCAAUUUUGAUAAUAGGAGCAUCAGAAAUUCCUAUCAGCUCUUUGAACAGCCGAGAAAUCUAAAUGGUCUCCUUUGAACUAAGAUUUGAUGCGACAAUUUUGGCUACACAGGUAGAAUAAGUAACUUUGACGGCGGCUUAGCCAAGUUAAAGCUGCAUCUAUAAAUUUUACGAUCACUCCAUUUGUUGAACGCAUAUUGUAUAGGCACCCAGCAAAAUCAACAUCACUGUAUAUUUUGAUUUUUAAAUAAAAAUAUAUUUUAAAUAUUUUUUGCAAAUGUAGAAAAUAAUCUAGCCAUAGGCCUUCAAGGCCUGAAGUAGUGGUUUGUGUUGAAUACCCAUGGCUUUAUUAUUUUUACAAUUAAAACAUUUACAAAAUAUAUAUUUCUCAAUCUGCA